rnacentral:rRNA from 1 species
UACGUAGGGUGCGAGCGUUGUCCGGAAUUAUUGGGCGUAAAGGGCUCGUAGGCGGUUUGUCGCGUCGGGAGUGAAAACACCGGGCUUAACUCGGUGCUUGCUUUCGAUACGGGCAGACUAGAGGUAUUCAGGGGGAGAACGGAAUUCCUGGUGUAGCGGUGAAAUGCGCAGAUAUCAGGAGGAACACCGGUGGCGAAGGCGGUUCUCUGGGGAAUAUCCUGACGCUGAG